GAUGAACGCUGGCGGCGUGCUUAACACAUGCAAGUCGAACGAUGAAGCCCAGCUUGCUGGGUGGAUUAGUGGCGAACGGGUGAGUAACACGUGAGUAACCUGCCCUUGACUCUGGGAUAAGCGCUGGAAACGGCGUCUAAUACCGGAUACGAGCUUCCACCGCAUGGUGAGUUGCUGGAAAGAAUUGCGGUCAAGGAUGGACUCGCGGCCUAUCAGGUAGUUGGUGGGGUAACGGCUCACCAAGCCGACGACGGGUAGCCGGCCUGAGAGGGUGACCGGCCACACUGGGACUGAGACACGGCCCAGACUCCUACGGGAGGCAGCAGUGGGGAAUAUUGCACAAUGGGCGCAAGCCUGAUGCAGCAACGCCGCGUGAGGGACGAAGGCCUUCGGGUCGUAAACCUCUUUUAGCAGGGAAGAAGCGAAAGUGACGGUACCUGCAGAAAAAGCACCGGCUAACUACGUG
rnacentral:rRNA from 1 species